rnacentral:rRNA from 1 species
AGGACGAACGCUGGCGGCGUGCCUAACACAUGCAAGUCGAACGGAGCGAAAGAAGCUUGCUUCUGGCGCUUAGUGGCGGACGGGUGAGUAACACGUGAGCAACCUGCCUUUCAGAGGGGAAUAAUGUCUGGAAACGGACACUAAUACCGCAUAAUAUCUUUUUAACUGCAUGGUUGAAAGAUCAAAGGAGCAAUCCGCUGAAAGAUGGGCUCGCGUCUGAUUAGCCAGUUGGCGGGGUAACGGCCCACCAAAGCGACGAUCAGUAGCCGGACUGAGAGGUUGAACGGCCACAUUGGGACUGAGACACGGCCCAGACUCCUACGGGAGGCAGCAGUGGGGGAUAUUGCACAAUGGGGGAAACCCUGAUGCAAGCAACGCCGCGUGCAGGAAGACGGUCUUCGGAUUGUAAACUGUUGUUCUUCGUGACGAUAAUGACGGUAGCGAAGAAGGAAGCCACGGCUAACUACGUGCCAGCAGCAGC